AGAGUUUGAUCCUGGCUCAGGAUGAACGCUGGCGGCGUGCCUAAUACAUGCAAGUCGAGCGAACGGACGAGAAGCUUGCUUCUCUGAUGUUAGCGGCGGACGGGUGAGUAACACGUGGAUAACCUACCUAUAAGACUGGGAUAACUUCGGGAAACCGGAGCUAAUACCGGAUAAUAUUUUGAACCGCAUGGUUCAAAAGUGAAAGACGGUCUUGCUGUCACUUAUAGAUGGAUCCGCGCUGCAUUAGCUAGUUGGUAAGGUAACGGCUUACCAAGGCAACGAUGCAUAGCCGACCUGAGAGGGUGAUCGGCCACACUGGAACUGAGACACGGUCCAGACUCCUACGGGAGGCAGCAGUAGGGAAUCUUCCGCAAUGGGCGAAAGCCUGACGGAGCAACGCCGCGUGAGUGAUGAAGGUCUUCGGAUCGUAAAACUCUGUUAUUAGGGAAGAACAUAUGUGUAAGUAACUGUGCACAUCUUGACGGUACCUAAUCAGAAAGCCACGGCUAACUACGUGCCAGCAGCCGCGGUAAUACGUAGGUGGCAAGCGUUAUCCGGAAUUAUUGGGCGUAAAGCGCGCGUAGGCGGUUUUUUAAGUCUGAUGUGAAAGCCCACGGCUCAACCGUGGAGGGUCAUUGGAAACUGGAAAACUUGAGUGCAGAAGAGGAAAGUGGAAUUCCAUGUGUAGCGGUGAAAUGCGCAGAGAUAUGGAGGAACACCAGUGGCGAAGGCGACUUUCUGGUCUGUAACUGACGCUGAUGUGCGAAAGCGUGGGGAUCAAACAGGAUUAGAUACCCUGGUAGUCCACGCCGUAAACGAUGAGUGCUAAGUGUUAGGGGGUUUCCGCCCCUUAGUGCUGCAGCUAACGCAUUAAGCACUCCGCCUGGGGAGUACGACCGCAAGGUUGAAACUCAAAGGAAUUGACGGGGACCCGCACAAGCGGUGGAGCAUGUGGUUUAAUUCGAAGCAACGCGAAGAACCUUACCAAAUCUUGACAUCCUUUGACAACUCUAGAGAUAGAGCCUU
rnacentral:rRNA from 1 species